rnacentral:rRNA from 1 species
GAUGAACGCUGGCGGCGUGCCUAAUACAUGCAAGUCGAGCGAACGGACGAGAAGCUUGCUUCUCUGAUGUUAGCGGCGGACGGGUGAGUAACACGUGGAUAACCUACCUAUAAGACUGGGAUAACUUCGGGAAACCGGAGCUAAUACCGGAUAAUAUUUUGAACCGCAUGGUUCAAAAGUGAAAGACGGUCUUGCUGUCACUUAUAGAUGGAUCCGCGCUGCAUUAGCUAGUUGGUAAGGUAACGGCUUACCAAGGCAACGAUGCAUAGCCGACCUGAGAGGGUGAUCGGCCACACUGGAACUGAGACACGGUCCAGACUCCUACGGGAGGCAGCAGUAGGGAAUCUUCCGCAAUGGGCGAAAGCCUGACGGAGCAACGCCGCGUGAGUGAUGAAGGUCUUCGGAUCGUAAAACUCUGUUAUUAGGGAAGAACAUAUGUGUAAGUAACUGUGCACAUCUUGACGGUACCUAAUCAGAAAGCCACGGCUAACUACGUGCCAGCAGCCGCGGUAAUACGUAGGUGGCAAGCGUUAUCCGGAAUUAUUGGGCGUAAAGCGCGCGUAGGCGGUUUUUUAAGUCUGAUGUGAAAGCCCACGGCUCAACCGUGGAGGGUCAUUGGAAACUGGAAAACUUGAGUGCAGAAGAGGAAAGUGGAAUUCCAUGUGUAGCGGUGAAAUGCGCAGAGAUAUGGAGGAACACCAGUGGCGAAGGCGACUUUCUGGUCUGUAACUGACGCUGAUGUGCGAAAGCGUGGGGAUCAAACAGGAUUAGAUACCCUGGUAGUCCACGCCGUAAACGAUGAGUGCUAAGUGUUAGGGGGUUUCCUCCCCUUAGUGCUGCAGCUAACGCAUUAAGCACUCCGCCUGGGGAGUACGACCGCAAGGUUGAAACUCAAAGGAAUUGACGGGGACCCGCACAAGCGGUGGAGCAUGUGGUUUAAUUCGAAGCAACGCGAAGAACCUUACCAAAUCUUGACAUCCUUUGACAACUCUAGAGAUAGAGCCUUCCCCUUCGGGGGACAAAGUGACAGGUGGUGCAUGGUUGUCGUCAGCUCGUGUCGUGAGAUGUUGGGUUAAGUCCCGCAACGAGCGCAACCCUUAAGCUUAGUUGCCAUCAUUAAGUUGGGCACUCUAAGUUGACUGCCGGUGACAAACCGGAGGAAGGUGGGGAUGACGUCAAAUCAUCAUGCCCCUUAUGAUUUGGGCUACACACGUGCUACAAUGGACAAUACAAAGGGCAGCGAAACCGCGAGGUCAAGCAAAUCCCAUAAAGUUGUUCUCAGUUCGGAUUGUAGUCUGCAACUCGACUACAUGAAGCUGGAAUCGCUAGUAAUCGUAGAUCAGCAUGCUACGGUGAAUACGUUCCCGGGUCU